UCCAAGAAGGCUCUCCAAGCGGUGCACGGU
rnacentral:piRNA from 1 species